AUAUGUUCGGUACAGUCAGACCCGGGGAGGACGCUAGAUUCUACAAGCCCUUUGAUCCUGUCUCCAUGGUGCCCCCAGAUGUUCUGCUUGUCGGGGGAUUGUGAUGUGGAAGCCUGUUUAUUUACAGAGGUGGCAGUAUGAUACCUGAAUCUGGUCAGUAUUGCAGCUCAACUCCAUGAGUCCUACAGUCUUAGAAGAAGCAGUCUCUUUGAUUUGGUGAUUGCCAGGUCAAAGAGCGCGUCGAGCUGUCACGCCCCAGCGCCACCAGGGAGGGGCUCUCCUCGCCCACCUGGCCUAGCUCGCCUAGCUGGCCGUUACCCACAAGGCACCUGGACAGGAGAGGGACCCGCAGGCAGGAGGGCCAGAGGGGGAAGAGUGAAGG